GACAGAGGUCCCGAGCGUUAGGCGGAAUCACUGGGCUUAAAGCGUGUGUAGGCGGAGUGCUAAGUACCUUGUGAAAUCCCACGGCUCAACCGUGGAACUGCUUGGUAUACUGGUUCUCUUGAGCCACCUAGGGGCAACCGGAACAAACGGUGGAGCGGUGAAAUGCGUAGAUAUCGUUUGGAACGCCAAUGGUGAAAACAGGUUGCUGGGGGUGUGCUGACGCUGAGACACGAAAGCCAGGGGAGCGAACGGG
rnacentral:rRNA from 1 species